UGUGUUACCUUGAUGAAAACAUCACGGAUGUAGAUGAGCACUGCUCAAGUAUCCGAGAGCGCAUAAAAAUCGUGUGGAUUGUUCCGUUGCCUUCCUUCUGAUUUAUCCU
rnacentral:snoRNA from 1 species